GAUGAACGCUGGCGGUGUGCCUAAUACAUGCAAGUCGAGCGAACAGACGAGGAGCUUACUCCUCUGACGUUAGCGGCGGACGGGUGAGUAACACGUGGAUAACCUACCUAUAAGACUGGGAUAACUUCGGGAAACCGGAGCUAAUACCGGAUAACAUGUUGAACCGCAUGGUUCAACAGUGAAAGACGGUCUUGCUGUCACUUAUAGAUGGAUCCGCGUCGCAUUAGCUAGUUGGUAAGGUGACGGCUUACCAGGGCAACGAUGCGUAGCCGACCUGAGAGGGUGAUCGGCCACACUGGAACUGAGACACGGUCCAGGCUCCUACGGGAGGCAGCAGUAGGGAAUCUUCCGCAAUGGGCGAAAGCCUGACGGAGCAACGCCGCGUGAGUGAAGAAGGUCUUCGGAUCGUAAAACUCUGUUAUUAGGGAAGAACAAAUGUGUAAGUAACUAUGCACGUCUUGACGGUACCUAAUCAGAAAGCCACGGCUAACUACGUG
rnacentral:rRNA from 1 species